GACGAACGCUGGCGGCGUGCUUAACACAUGCAAGUCGAACGGAAAGGCCCUGCUUUUGUGGGGUGCUUGAGUGGCGAACGGGUGAGUAACACGCGAGUAACCUGCCCUUGACUUUGGGAUAACUUCAGGAAACUGGGGCUAAUACCGGAUAGGAGCUCCUGCUGCAUGGUGGGGGUUGGAAAGUUUCGGCGGUUGGGGAUGGACUCGCGGCUUAUCAGCUUGUUGGUGGGGUAGUGGCUUACCAAGGCUUUGACGGGUAGCCGGCCUGAGAGGGUGACCGGCCACAUUGGGACUGAGAUACGGCCCAGACUCCUACGGGAGGCAGCAGUGGGGAAUAUUGCACAAUGGGCGGAAGCCUGAUGCAGCAACGCCGCGUGCGGGAGGACGGCCUUCGGGUGGUAAACCGCUUUCGCCUGUGACGAAGCGUGAGUGACGGUAAUGGGUAAAGAAGCACCGGCUAACUACGU
rnacentral:rRNA from 1 species